GGAAGACUGCCACCGGGUAGUGAGAAUGCAAAAGCAUUCGUUAACACAUCGUUAGGUCUUGGAAGAUGUGUUUAACGGGUGCUUUUUUUGU
rnacentral:ncRNA from 1 species